GGGCCAAUCAGAACCUGCCGGGGGGUCUCUAUGCUGACCGGAAGUGGGUCUGUUACCCGGGGGCCAUCUUGCCGCUCGAGGUGCCGAGCCUUAGAGACGCGGGUCCCCGGGGGUCGAGGAAGGGGAGGCAGCUGUCGGUCACCGAGCUCCCGGGCGCAGGCCAGCCCGAGACCAGGCCCUAGAACCUUCCAGAUGCCGGUGUAUGUAUCGGGCCGCGGAGGUUGGGUCUCCCGCGGCUGGGCAUCAUCGCGCAUGCGCGGCCGGGCCAUGGCUGCCGCUCCGCAGGAGCUGCUGAUGCUGUGGGAAACUGGGCUUCUCUGGAAGCAGCCAGGCCGGGGUGCAGUCCCACCCCCAGCCCAGGAGGCUGGCUGGAGGAGGCUGGCCCAGCGCGGCCCUUGUGGCCUCAGCCAGCCUGUCUACACUGCGGUCCCUCCUCCAGGACCAGAGCCCCUGUCGGAGGUAGGGGGCCUUCCUGGCUCUGCAGGCUGUGGAGUUGGCUCCAUGUGA
rnacentral:lncRNA from 1 species